UACAGAGGUCUCAAGCGUUGUCCGGAAUUAUUGGGCGUAAAGCGCGCGCAGGCGGUCCUUUAAGUCUGAUGUGAAAGCCCACGGCUCAACCGUGGAGGGUCAUUGGAAACUGGGGGACUUGAGUACAGAAGAGGAAAGUGGAAUUCCACGUGUAGCGGUGAAAUGCGUAGAGAUGUGGAGGAACACCAGUGGCGAAGGCGACUUUCUGGUCUGUAACUGACGCUGAGGCGCGAAAGCGUGGGGAGCAAACAGG
rnacentral:rRNA from 1 species